CCUACGGGAGGCUGCAGUGGGGGAUAUUGCACAAUGGGGGAAACCCUGAUGCAGCGACGCCGCGUGUGGGAAGACGGUCCUCUGGAUUGUAAACCACUGUCCCCAGGGACGAAGAUGACGGUACCCCAAUAGCAAGCCACGGCUAACUACGUGCCAGCAGCCGCGGUAAUACGUAGGUGGCAAGCGUUAUCCGGAAUGACUGGGCGUAAAGGGUGCGUAGGUGGUUUAGUAAGUUGGCGGUGUAAUUCCGGGGCUCAACCUCGGCGCUACCGCCAAAACUAUUAGACUAGAGUGCAGGAGGGGUAAGUGGAAUUCCUAGUGUAGCGGUGGAAUGCGUAGAUAUUAGGAGGAACAUCAGGGGCGAAGGCGACUUACUGGACUGUAACUGACACUGAGGCACGAAAGCGUGGGGAGCAAACAGGAUUAGAUACCCUAGUAGUC
rnacentral:rRNA from 1 species